rnacentral:rRNA from 1 species
GACGAACGCUGGCGGCGUGCUUAACACAUGCAAGUCGAACGGAAAGGCCCUGCUUUUGUGGGGUGCUCGAGUGGCGAACGGGUGAGUAACACGUGAGUAACCUGCCCUUGACUUUGGGAUAACUUCAGGAAACUGGGGCUAAUACCGGAUAGGAGCUCCUGCUGCAUGGUGGGGGUUGGAAAGUUUCGGCGGUUGGGGAUGGACUCGCGGCUUAUCAGCUUGUUGGUGGGGUAGUGGCUUACCAAGGCUUUGACGGGUAGCCGGCCUGAGAGGGUGACCGGCCACAGUGGGACUGAGAUACGGCACAGACGCCUACGGGAGGCAGCAGUGGGGAAUAUUGCACAAUGGGCGGAAGCCUGAUGCAGCAACGCCGCGUGCGGGAUGACGGCCUUCGGGUUGUAAACCGCUUUCGCCUGUGACGAAGCGUGAGUGACGGUAAUGGGUAAAGAAGCACCGGCUAACUACG